UACGUAGGGUGCAAGCGUUGUCCGGAAUUAUUGGGCGUAAAGGGCUCGUAGGCGGUUUGUCGCGUCGGGAGUGAAAACUCAGGGCUUAACCCUGAGCCUGCUUCCGAUACGGGCAGACUAGAGGUAUGCAGGGGAGAAUGGAAUUCCUGGUGUAGCGGUGAAAUGCGCAGAUAUCAGGAGGAACACCGGUGGCGAAGGCGGCUCUCUGGGCAUUACCUGACGCUGAGGAGCGAAAGUGUGGGGAGCGAACAGG
rnacentral:rRNA from 1 species